GUACCAACUCUUGUCAAACUGAAUUUAAUCAGAAGGUUUUUAAGUCAGUCUGAUAGCAUCAUCAGGUGAAAACACGCCCACUGCAGACGAUCACGAAACCAUAGCUGACCAAACACAGUUGGACCCAGUGGAGGAUGUGAGUCUUGCCUCUGAGGAGGCAAACCCGGGCAAGCAUCUGCCAGGAGAGGAGGCUGCAGCCGUGAUUCUGGCCGUAGAGGGAAAGAUCGAUUCGGUCAGUAAAAGGGAGGAACCGGAGGGCACCGAGCCCCUGCCUGCAGGAGUGGAGGAGAGCUCUGAGCUGCCAUCUGCUUGGCGAGAGGAGAGCAAUGGGCCUUCACCUCCAGCACCAGGAGAAGAUGAGCCUUCACCUCCAGCACCAGGAGAAGAUGCUGGGUCACCAUCACCAGGACCAGCAGAGGACAGUGGGCUGGUAGAGGGCAGUGACAGCUCUGUAGUGGAAAUCAUCAAGAAAGUACAUAUUACUGAAGAGGACCACCUCAUUGAGGGUGAGACGGGAGAACAGGUGGAAACUGAGCUGCUGAGUGAGAUAGUAAGUGGAGGGCCUGAAACAAAAGAAGAAGAAACAGGAGAAGCUGUGGAUGGUGCAGCAGCGACAGAGAUAGAGACAGCUAAUAACAAGGAAUAG
rnacentral:lncRNA from 1 species